GGUUAUGGCACUUGAACAGGCUUCUCCUGGGACACCAGACUCUUCUGUGAGGAAAACAUUAGAAAUGAGGAGCUGAGCAGCAGUUGAUUGGAUGUGACUGCCUGCAACAACAAACCCAACCAUUACCAACCAAGAUAACAACCCUUGAUGAACGCCCUCAACGUGGCUUGGAGAGAUGUCUGAUAUUGAAGUUCUUGGAGGACAACAAGCAUCCUAUUUCCCGGAGUAGGCUAACUCCAUGAAGUAACACACUGAUGUGAAAAAGGGAUCAGGGUCACAGGAUCAAUUCUAUUCACAUUAUUCCGCGCACAAACAUGGGGGGCACUAGCUUUGCCCACAUUGUCUCUGAACUUCCGAUUGAGCAGUACAUCCAUUGCGAUACAU